rnacentral:misc_RNA from 1 species
CAGAGUUGCAUAACUCCCAAACCCUUGUGAACCUACCUGUACGUCGUUGCUUCGGCGGGUAGCCCCUCUCGGGGCCCAGCCUCCUAGCGAGGUGCCCGCCGGAGGACCACCUUAAAACUCUUGCAAUUUGUGGCCUCUCUGAGUAUUAUACAAAUAAAUCA